rnacentral:rRNA from 1 species
AGAGUUUGAUCCUGGGCUCAGAAUCAACGCUGGCGGNGUGCCUAACACAUGCAAGUCGAACGCGAAAGUGGAGCAAUCCAUGAGUAGAGUGGCGAACGGGUGAGUAACACGUGGGUGACCUACCUUCGAAUGGGGGAUAACGUCCCGAAAGGGACGCUAAUACCGCAUAACAUCCUGUCCUUGGAACGGAUGGAGAUCAAAGCCGGGGAUCGCAAGACCUGGCGUUUGAAGAGGGGCCCGCGUCCGAUUAGCUAGUUGGUGAGGUAAUGGCUCACCAAGGCGACGAUCGGUAACCGGCCUGAGAGGGCGGACGGUCACACUGGGACUGAGACACGGCCCANACUCCUACGGGAGGCAGCAGUGGGGAAUUGUUCACAAUGGGCGCAAGCCUGAUGACGCAACGCCGCGUGGAGGAUGAAGGUCUUCGGAUUGUAAACUCCUGUUGCUCGGGACGAAAAGCUUUGACCUAACACGUCAAAGUCUGACGGUACCGAGUGAGGAAGCCCCGGCUAACUCUGUGCCAGCAGCCGCGGUAAUACAGAGGGGGCAAGCGUUGUUCGGAAUUACUGGGCGUAAAGGGCGCGUAUGUGGCCUCCUAAGUCGAACGUGAAGUCCCUGGGCUCAACCCANGAACUGCGUCCGAGACUGGGAGGCUUGAAUCCGGGANAGGGAUGCGGAAUUCCAGGUGUAGC